rnacentral:rRNA from 1 species
AGAGUUUGAUUAUGGCUCAGGAUGAACGCUAGCUACAGGCUUAACACAUGCAAGUCGAGGGGCAUCAUGACGAUAGCUUGCUAUUGUUGAUGGCGACCGGCGCACGGGUGAAGUACGCGUAUCCAACCUUCCUAUAGUAGAGGAUACGCCGGACGAAAGUCGGAUUAAUACUCUAUGUUGUAUUUUUGCGGACAUCUAACGAAUACCAAAGGUUUACCGCUAUAGGAUGGGGAUGCGUCUGAUUAGGUUGUUGGCGGGGUAACGGCCCACCAAGCCAUCGAUCAGUAGGGGUUCUGAGAGGAAGGUCCCCCACAUUGGAACUGAGACACGGUCCAAACUCCUACGGGAGGCAGCAGUGAGGAAUAUUGGUCAAUGGGCGGAAGCCUGAACCAGCCAAGUAGCGUGCCAGGACGACUGCCCUAUGGGUUGUAAACUGCUUUUAUAGGGGAAUAAAGUGAGGUAUGCAUACCUUUUUGUAUGUACCCUAUGAAUAAGGACCGGCUAAUUCCGUGCCAGCCGCAGC